GAUGAACGCUAGCUACAGGCUUAACACAUGCAAGUCGAGGGGAAACGAUAUUGGAAGCUUGCUUCCGAUAGGCGUCGACCGGCGCACGGGUGAGUAACGCGUAUCCAACCUGCCCACCACUUGGGGAUAACCUUGCGAAAGUAAGACUAAUACCCAAUGAUAUCUCUAGAAGACAUCUGAAAGAGAUUAAAGAUUUAUCGGUGAUGGAUGGGGAUGCGUCUGAUUAGCUUGUUGGCGGGGUAACGGCCCACCAAGGCGACGAUCGGUAGCCGGACUGAGAGGUUGAACGGCCACAUUGGGACUGAGACACGGCCCAGACUCCUACGGGAGGCAGCAGUGGGGAAUAUUGCACAAUGGGGGGAAACCCUGAUGCAGCGACGCCGCGUGGAGGAAGAAGGUCUUCGGAUUGUAAACUCCUGUUGUUGAGGAAGAUAAUGACGGUACUCAACAAGGAAGUGACGGCUAACUACGUG
rnacentral:rRNA from 1 species